AAAAUUGAGAGUUUGAUCCUGGCUCAGGAUAAACGCUGGCGGCGUGCAUAACACAUGCAAGUCG
rnacentral:rRNA from 1 species